AAGGAAACAGCCCACGACCGCACACCUCAUCUCCCACUAACCCCACAAUUCCUCGUCCCCAAUCCUCUCGCGAGAGAAAUCGCCGCCGGCGGCCUUCUCUCCUUCAUCGCUCAACUUGGCAAAGGCGACGAGCACCUACCGCCCCUGCUCCCCCUCCGCCCUCUAUCCCCUUGCUUGGAGACAGCUUCCACGGCGGGCAGGGAACUCGGUAACCCCACAACGGCGCCCUCACCGAGGCCCAUGGCCCAGCUCCACUUGACCUCUCAUCGGAGCCAUCGGUGGGAACCAAGACUGGUGAUCCGCGAGACUUGCAUACAGCGGCUUGGCUAGACGACCAUCAUCCCUACCCUGCGCGGAGCCUUUCGUCGAUCUGGUCGUGCUUCCCAGCAGACAUCGCGCUCCUCUCCCUUAUGAUGUCGUACUGGACGCAUGCUCCCCGCCCCCAACGCCGGGCAAUCCUGCCGGAUCUGGUCGUCCUCAAACCCCAAAAUCGGUGGUGGCCACGAGCAGCCAACUCUGUCCUCUGUCGUAGCUGAGGAUGGGGUAGCAAACGCAUGUUGAGGCGGGGAGCUGGUACAUGGGGUUCUUGGAGGGAGGAGCAAGCUAUCAAUUGCUGCGGCGGGGUUGGAGGGGCAGAUCGGAGUCAGCCGAGUGACGUUCCUCACGGCCAUGAGUUGUGGCCCGUCUUCAGAAGCACAAAGCCACAUCACGCUGAUGACAAUUGGUCGUCCAUCGUUUGAUUCGUGUUCGUAGUAUUCUGUACAUCUCCGCAAGGUACAACACGGGUAAUUUCACCCCAUGUCGCUUAUUGAAUCCUGAAGCAAUUAACUUAUAGCUUAAUUACCUGCAGGCUACAGUUCUUUAUUGGGAACGAAGGAUUGGUCUAUUUUUCUUCCACUCUGUUUGGAUUUCUAGGAAGUCUUUUGCCUAUUGUGCAGCACAUGAGUUCAAAUAUUUCUUAUUUGAUGUAGAAUCAAAUAAAAAGGUUGAUGUUUCAUGGCUCAAUCAAACUGAAACCAACCUUAGGAAUACAACAAUUCUUGCUCCGUUGUAUGUGCUUCCAACCAUUCAUAUUGAAGGAAUAUGUACAGAGGCUGGGCUCGUUAAACAACACCGUAAGCCAUAACAUAGCUUCAACCAUGAACUGCAGUUAAUUAGAAAAAAACUAUUUGUUAUUCUGUGUUUGUGAGCAGUCUAUCAUGGAUUCGGUUCAGUUGGAGGGUCUUCUAUGGCUGCAGCAUAAGAAAUAGUACACAUCUAGCCAUCCAAGAUCCAACAUUCAACAAAAGUCUAAGAUUUGCUUAACUACUUCUUUUUUGAUUUACUUGGGCAGUUAAUUAACUGUUUUUCAUAGUUGGAGCUAUACUAUGUCAUGAUAUACGAAUUGAGGAAGAAAUUGCAAUAGAUAGUCAUGAUAUACGACACUUUUCAUAAGGCGACUAAAAGAUAACCGUGUGUUUCUUGCCGAAUUUUACUUUUUUGAACCGUCCUUGAUAUUAGACACAAGAUGUUGGCUAGAAAUAUCACAUGUCAUUAUUAGGCAUCUUUAGGGAUGGAGGUUAGGCAUUGUCAGCGAAUGGCGAGGGGGGGUGGGGGUGGGGGGUGAAGUAGAUCUUUUCUGAAAUUACCAGCAGCUGCACACAAGUUUCAUUGUUUGUCAAUUUUAUCCACGACUUUCAUGUAUUUAUAGGUAAUUCUUUUCAGUACUAUGAUUGUCAGUCUCAUUGUGUAUUAUCCUCUUUGAUUAUCUUGCACUGCAGAAUUAUUAUGCGAUCAAAUUUAUAGGUGUAUUCAUUGUUUCUCCUCUUAACUAUGUAGAUGGAACAAGGAUCACACAUAUUACUAUAAGCUAUAUUCUUUUCACAUUUAUGCAUAUUCUUUUUGGGACGGAAAAUAAAUUCAAUUAUAAUACGCAGAUAUAUUUUCUCCCAUCUAUGUAUUCUUGCUCGGAGAGAAAAACAAAGUAGCGAUAAUAACAGAUUUUAUAUAAUCUUAUGUCUUGCAAACUGAAAAAAGAAACUAACUACUCCCUCCGGUCCAUAAUAAUUGACGCUGCUUUAGUACAACUUUGUACUAAAGCAGCAUCAAUUAUUAUGAAUCGGACGGAGUAUCUUUUUUUUCUAACUUGUAGCAAAAUGUGGGAGCUUAUAUACACACAUAAAACAAGUAGCUCUUACGAAGUUCUUCAGUGUUGGUCAUGUGUGUCUAAAUAUUGUUGCUGUUGUUGUCAUCUAUAAACAACAAGGUUCUUUUAAAAAAAAUCUUAGGCUGACUGUGAUGAGAAAUGGAGCUUGGAGGAGGCAUCAUAGAGCUGAUGCCACCUCAGCAGACAAAGAACACGAGAACGACGAGGUGAGCCGGUACUCUGCAGGAGCCGGACCAUGGGGAGGUUCUAAUUUUAAGAAAUCUUGGUUGCUAGCAUAUGUAAGGUUUGAAGUAUGGAUUGAGAAAAUAAACAUCUAAAUGCCAAGUAAUUUGUCUGAGAAUUUGACACACUGGUUUAGGAAUCCAGUAUUGUUUUCUUCAUCCUA